GCACACUGUUGCUUCUCCCCCAUUAUCUUCUCUCUGCUUAAGGAUUAAUUAUACGAGAAGUCAUAUCUGAGUUAAAACCCUAGAAUUCCCCAACUUGGUUCAGAUGCAACAAAUCCUCUUUUGCUCUGCAACCUCUGAUAGGAAAAUUUUCUUCUCCUGCUGCCCCCACCAGAAAUUACUGGGAUUUGGUAACGUGCUUUUAAUUUUUAAAAGGAUGCGAGAAGGAGAUCAUCCUGGGAAGAAAAAGUAGCGCAUUGAAUCAAAUUUUUAUGGUCUCUGGAUGACAUUUUAAAUGAUGACCACUAUAACCAUGAGAUGCAUGCAAUUAUGGAGGAUCUUUUGUGGAAGACAAAAGUAGCAGCUAAGUAUCAAAAUCAUGGCUUUUAGGAGAUGGUCUUAUCAUGGCCUGUUGAGGAUACUUUGAAUGAUGAAGGUGUUCAAAUUUCUUUAGUCGGAUAUGCUUUCUCUUGGCAAUGUUGUAAAAAUACUUGGAUAUGCUCAUAAUCCAUCACUGACAAGAAACUACUCACGAUUGCCGAUGAAACCUUGUCAAAUUCCUUUUAAAGGCCUCGAAAACUGUUGUUGAUUGGGUCCAGAUGCCAUAGAUGAAGAUUGAGACCAACGAUUCCUGAAAUCAUCACAUCAAAGAUCAAAGCUCAGGCUAAUCACCAGCUAAGGAAGAUGUCACAAGAGAUGUCUCAAUAUUUGAUCUAUUUGAUUCGGUGACUGAUUUAUGCUUUUCAAAUAGAUUAAUAAAGGAAAUGUCGACCUAUAAAGCGUCUAUACAAAUCAAAGAAACGGGUUGAAGAUCACGGGCUGAAACAGGAUGUUGUUGCUAAUGCCUCUAAACCAAAUGCUUAGCUCAUGAUCUCAACUCUCACUGAUUUUUUCCAUCAUGUUAUCAUUGUUAAAAAUAUUGUGGUUUCAUUUCUGUAUGAUAUCAGAGGGAGAUGAAAAAUGGUGCGAUGAAGGAUAGCUUAAUGUUGUUUAGCAAAGGAAGAGGUUAGAGAGUUGUGUGGGUUUAAGCUUGGUGCCAAUGGUCAUGUGAAGGUGCACUAGCUACUGCAAUGGUGACGUUGUUGGCACACUUAGGGUGUUCACUAGCUGUGAUCUUGAAUUCAAUUGUGAUUUGUUCCCCUGGUUGUCAAGAAGGUCAUCCGUUUUUUGUUCAUUCCCUAUACACAUUUCCAUGUUAAGUUGCUUGUGUAUGAUAUGUGUAUUUUGAGUCCACUUUUUGGCAAAGAAUAGUUGACUAUUAUCACAUUGACCUAUGAUUUUACAACAUUGCAGAUUGAUAGCUUCGAACAUUGAGUAUGUGAUGGUCAUAACUUCUAUCUCUUGUGUUUUCUUUUUUGAAAAUUGUAAAAUGUUUUUUUCUU
rnacentral:lncRNA from 1 species